GACGAACGCUGGCGGCGUGCCUAAUACAUGCAAGUCGAACGAGAGCGACCGGUGCUUGCACUGGUCAAUCUAGUGGCGAACGGGUGAGUAACACGUGGGUAACCUGCCCAUCAGAGGGGGAUAACAUCCGGAAACGGAUGCUAAAACCGCAUAGGUCUUCGAGCCGCAUGGCUUGAAGAGGAAAAGCGGCGCAAGCUUCUGCUGAUGGAUGGACCCGCGGUGCAUUAGCUAGUUGGGGAGGUAACGGCUCACCAAGGCCGUGAUGCAUAGCCGACCUGAGAGGGGGAUCGGCCACAUUGGGACUGAGACACGGCCCAAACUCCUACGGGAGGCAGCAGUAGGGAAUCUUCCGCAAUGGACGCAAGUCUGACGGAGCAACGCCGCGUGAGUGAAGAAGGUUUUCGGAUCGUAAAACUCUGUUGUUAGAGAAGAACAAGUGCUAGAGUAACUGUUAGCGCCUUGACGGUAUCUAACCAGAAAGCCACGGCUAACUACGUG
rnacentral:rRNA from 1 species